rnacentral:rRNA from 1 species
GCGCACCAGUCGCGAAUACUGGCCAAUGCGCGAAAGCGUGAGCCGGCUAAUCUGAGUGGUUCCCCAUCGGGAACCUUUUGCCAAGUGUACAAAGCUUGGCGAAUAAGGAGAGGGCAAGACUGGUGCCAGCCGCCGCGGUAAAACCAGCUCUUCGAAUCGUGGGCAUGAUUAUUUGGCUUAAAGUGUGCGUAGCAGGACAGGAUAAGUCUCCUGUGAAAUGCCAGGUCUUAAGCCUGGCGCGUGCGGGAGAUACUAUCCGUCUUGGGGACCGGGAUAGGUAUGAUGUACACAAUGGGGUAGGGGUGAAAUCCGAUAAUCCAUUGUGGACAACCGGUGGCGAAGGCGUCAUACGUGGGAACGGGUCCGACUGUGAGGCACGAAAGCUAGGGGUCGCGAGCCGGAUUAGACUACCCCCGUAGU